rnacentral:lncRNA from 1 species
UUUUUUUUUUUUUUUUUUUUUUUUGUCUUUUUAGGGCCACACCUGCAACAUGUGGAAAUUCCCAGGCAGGGGUUGAAUCUAAGCUGUAGCUGCCAACCUGCACCACAGCCACAGGAACACUGGACCCGAGCCACCUCUGCAACCUACACCACAGUUCACGGCUACACUGGAUCCCCAACCCAGUGAGCAAGACCAGGGAUCGAACCUGAGUCCUCAUGGAUACUAGUCAGGUUCGUUAACCACUGAGCCAUGACGGGGAUGCCUCUUUUUUUCUUUCUGAUUCUAACUUUUCCUUAUAUACAAAGGCCUGUUUAUUCCUUAUACUUUUUGCUUUAAUUUGAUUUUAUCAGGUAGUAAAAUGCUGCUCCAGAUUCUGUUGGCUCCUAUCUACUUGGCAUAUCUUUUCAUCCUUUCUGUUGUCAAUCUUUCUCUACUCUUUUGUUUCAUUUGUUUUAGGUAGAUCAUAUAUUUUUGAAUCUUAUUUUUAAAUUUAAUUUAAUGUUCUCUGAUUUUUAACAGUGAGUUUAGAACACUUACAUGUAUUAGUUACUUCCAUAUUAAAACUUAUUUCUGCUUAUAUUUUAUGUUAUCCAUUUAAUGCCUUUAUUUUUUUUCUUGUUACUCCUUUCCUACUUACCAAUGUAACUCAGUGUAGCUGUUACACAUCCCUUAAUUAUUUGACCAAACAGGUCUUAAGGUGGGUAUAAAAGACAGCUUCAGAGUUCCUAUUGUGGCUCAGUGGUAAUGAACCCAACUAGUAUCCAUGAGGAUGUGGGUUUGAUCUCUGACUUUGUUCAGUGGGUUAAGGAUCCAACAUUGCUGUGAGCUGUGGUGUAGGUCGCAGACGAAUGUCAGUGUCAGUGGGGUUCUCUCAGUGUAACACAAAAGCAUCCUUGCAUAAGGAGUUGAUAAACAUAUAUGGAUUGUUCUGGGCCAUACAAGCAGUUGCUUCUUCCCUAAUACUCUCUAAUUCCCCAACCUGGUAGAUUGCAAUUUCAGGAGACCACCACCACCCAAUGUGAGUUCUUUAAGUAUUUAAAGAAAGGAUUUAGAAGGAUUAGAAGAGUUGCUUGUGCUAUAGCAGCAAAUGGAAGUGGUUCUGUGAUUUCUGAGGUAUUGCAGUCUUGGGUUCAUCCACUCUUCUCUCCUUAAAUCAUCAUGAGGGAUAUAAACAACUGGAGCCUGGGUUUCAUCCAUUCCAAAUUUACAUCACUAGAGAGAGUAGCUGGUACCCAAGGAACAUGGCCAUGCUGGCCAAAAGAAUUUUAUCUCUGAGUAAUAAAGCAUCUACAAAGAAAACAAAUUAAAUAAUGUAUACCACAUGAAGCAGAGUUACUGGAACAGAUGGCAUAUUAAAUAUUCUCAAAUAGAUAAGGAAGGUUAUUUGAAUUAUAUAGCAGUAAAAGGAAGACUUUAAAAGAACCAAGUGAAAAUGUUAAGUAUCAAAAAUAUAAUCAUAGCAAUAAAGAUCUUAAUGGCUAGGAUAUGUAUCACAAUGGACCUAGCCAAAGACCAAAUUACUGUGCUAGAAAUCAUAUUGGAGCACUUUGCCAUAAGACAAUAGCAAAAGAUAAGGGAAAAAAAUUGUAAAACUGUAAAAUAAAAGCCAAGUGGUAUGGAGGCUUAAGGUGACAAAAUCCUGAUAAUAGGAGUCUCAGAAUGAAAAGAAAAAUGUAUGUGAAGGCAGCCAACUACAGCCUGCAGGACAAAUCCAGCCUGUUUUGUAAAGUUUUAUUGGAGUAGAGCCAUACCCAUUACACAUUUUCUAUGGCUACUUGAAUCUUGCAAUGGCAGAUUGAGUAGUUACAGAGGAUAUAAGGCCUACAAAGCCUGAAAUAUUUACUAUCUGGCCCUUUACAGAAAAGUUUGCUUUAUCUCUGCUCUAACAUGUAUAGGGAUAGGUGGAAUGAGAUAGAACAUCCAUAAUAGACUUUCCCAUUCAGAAAGAGAAAGAAUGAUAAAUACAUAACAUUCACUGGUCCAUAACAGUGGAUCCAAAACCCCUAGGAUCAUGUGGGUUGCCUGCUUUUGACAUCCUCAUGGCAGGGAAUGGGCUUCAAUCUCACCCAAAUCUUAAAGUAGCAUGAAAAACUCAUAUGAUGUAGUAGUCAUUUUUAAGAAACAUUUCUGCAACAUCUGAUUUCCUAAUCAAGGAAACUAGAUCGUGAAGCUAUCUAAAUGAUUCUGAAGCUGCUACAUGCUUGAAUACUCAAUUGGAAUAAUAGGGGUGAGGGAGGUAAGUUUGAGAAGAGACAAGGACUAGGAGAAAGAGGGGGGGGCUAUAGAAGAAAGAGGUGGUAGGAAAUGAAAACAGAAGCAGAGCAUACAAGGUAACCGGAGAUGGAUGUAUUCCUUCUUAUGACACGUGGUAGGGAGUUGAAAGCAGGCAUGAUACCAGUAGACUCCAGACCAUUCCAUACAGGCCUUUGUGCAAGGUGCAAUAGACAUCCUGUUGCUCUAAGUUCCUUACCCUUAUGAUUACAGAAACCCUCUGUCCCACACCCCACUUCAAAAGCCCCUAGAAAUAAAGAAAAACUUGCCACCAUCCCCACCCUAAAUUGUAUGCUCUCAUCUCAUUUUUUUUACCUACAUCGAGACCCACAAAAACAGAAGUUCAUUACUAACUACUGAACAUUCAUAGUCCUAGCUGUCUAAAUUGGUAAAUUUGUCAUGUUUUUGCCUUAUUUAUACAAUGCUCUUUAAAUAACUAUGCAUCACUGAACUAUUCAUUCAACUAUUUGGAACACACAACUGCCCCAUUCAUUAGCAUUUGGGACUACAGAGGUGAUGUGACAAUAAGCUAUCUUGAAAGACAGCUUUCCAGCUCCUUAAAUAUAUGGCUCUAACAACAAAAUCCAAUCUAUACCUUAAGGCACAAGUCUAAUAAGCUUUGGAAGUUUCAGGAAAGAGUCUGUCCUACUUUCCCUAAAAGGAAUAAAUCUAUGUGAGUUCAUAAGUGUUUCCGAAUCAGCUGAAGUUUUCCUUCUUUCUGAUUGGAGGACCAGUUACCUUCAAUCAGCAUUGAUGUCUGGGCCUAGGCAAGGUUGUACUUUCGGCUGUGAAAGAAUGGGAAGGAAAUUAACAGCUCACACUCUCAUUAUACUUCUCUCAUUAUACUUGUGGUGCUUCUCUGCCCGGUCUAAUGGCUUCCACAAUUUUCCAUACUCCUAGAAGUUUGUUCAUGAUGUUGACACGCAGCAAAUUCCCCCCAGAUCCCAAACAAAGGAAGCCCAACUUCCACUGAAUUUUUGCUGAGACUAAUUUUACCUUCAAGAGUGUGUGCGUGUGUGUGUUCAAGAAAGGAAAAGAAAAUAGUAAAUUGUGAGGAAAUCUCCAUGCCCCCAAAAGUGAUGUUCAUAAAACUAAGAAACCAAUGCAGCCUUCUACAGAAUUACUGGGGACACCAUUCUUUUUCCUUCUGCUACAAUCAGAAUUAGCUCUCAGUUGCCAAGUGGAAAAAUACUAUACUAGAGAGUCACAAUAGCAUCCCAAAUGGGAAUGCAUUAAAAGAAAUACAAGUUUCAGAAAGAUCUGUAUUUGUCUAGUUUUUUUCAGCAUAAAUAUUUUAGUAAUCUAAGGUCUGGAAAGAUUCUUCCACAUGUCUCUUUAAAAUGAAUCAACUAUUUUAUUUUC